CGCUGGCGGUGUGCUUAACACAUGGCAAGUGGUGCGACGAACCAGAGCUUGCUCUGGGGCAAAGCCGCGAACGGGUGAGUAACACGUGGGUAAUCUACCCCGAUGACCGGGACAACCCGAGGAAACUCGGGCUAAUACCGGAUGUGGUACGGAGACAUAAGUCUCUUUACUAAAGGUAGCUUCGGCUUCCGCAUUGGGAGGGGCCCGCGGCCCAUUAGCUAGUUGGUGGGGUCAAGGCCUACCAAGGCAACGAUGGGUAGCUGGUCUGAGAGGACGAUCAGCCACACUGGGACUGAGACACGGCCCAGACUCCUACGGGAGGCAGCAGUGGGGAAUCUUGCGCAAUGCGCGAAAGCGUGACGCAGCAACACCGCGUGAGGGAAGACGGCCUUAGGGUUGUAAACCUCUUUCAGAUGGGACGAAGGUGAUGCGGUGAAUAGCCGAUGUCAUUGACGGUACCGUCAGAAGAAGCUCCGGCUAACUACGUG
rnacentral:rRNA from 1 species